UCAGUAGUAUUUCGAAUAAAGCGGUAGAAAGUGGUUGUGUUCAUGUUAGUGAUCGAAAUUAUCAAUUAUUUUUCUUUUAUUUCCAAAUGAAUGUACUUAUAUUUUUCAAAUUUAUUGAAAAUUUAUCUUUAAAAUGGAUUCUGCGCAUGCGUAAAUGUUUUAACCGCGGAAAGCACUGCUCAAAUAAGAAAAGUUAUAUAGUGGCGCCAAAAAAUAAUAACCUCAUUGCGGGAUUAUAUAAGUUACAUUGUUGUGAUCAAGAAUUUUAUUAUUUAUGAGUUAUUGCAAAUAUAUGUGAAAGAUGAUAUUCAGAAGUGCUAUGUAUACCUAGUAUUCGUAGAAGUGAAUUGGGUGAUAAAUCUUCGUGCUGAAUCAAAUAAAAGCAAAGGUGUUCUCAUGCAUAAAUUCCGCACGCGCGGCGUGAUGUACAUAUAUCGAUGAGAUAGCGUAGAAUCAUAAAUAUUGUGCAUUUUUAGUCGGUGAUCAAGAUUUCAAAGUGCAAUACUUCGUUCUCAUGGUUAACCAGGCAUGUCAUUUUUUCACUUUAACCAGAGACAAGAACCUGGUUCUUCGACAUUUCUCUACUUCCUGGGUCUUAGAUAGAUAUCUUAUUGUAAUAUAAAAAAUGCGUAUUGAUAGAGAAAUAAAAAUAUGAAAAUUCGGAAAGGUAUGUACAAAGUCUGUUGUAUAAAAGGAAACUUACUUGUGAAACCGUUCGGACGUCAUUCUGUUCCUUGAUCCUUUAGAAAUUUUUGUUACCGAUGGCAAAACAUCAUUACUGAAAACAAAAUUUUUUGGCACUUUUUUAAUAAAAAUCACUUUUAAUAAUAAUGAAUCCAAGAUUCACAGAUUCUACAUAUUUUUUUUUUAUUUUUUUUUAUUUUUUUUAGACAGUAAAAAAAUCACAAGCGCUGAGUAUGGCGUCCAGCAGUGUACUGCUCAAACGAACGAAGGCUGGAAAAAUAUGAAAAAAUCAAUCAUAUUAACGAUUGCUGGAUUAGUUGAAUUCUUUUUACCAGAGAUGAACUAAGAUGAAAGCAUAGAGAGAGGACGCCGCAAUCGGUGAGUACUUUUUAUCAACUGAAAGUAUACAAUGAGACAAAUAUUUCGCGCCCAAAUUUUUAUUUUUACUUUUUGUAUGAAAAAAACAUAUUCAUAUACGAAUAAUAUUUGAAAGUUGUUUUAUUGAGACUUUACAACAAUCAGCAUGCAAAGAUUACAUUGAAUCUUACAGCGAUAUUCAUUUAUUUCAACGCAUUUGCUAAAUAUACAAUUUGAUUACAACAAAACCAUUUAUAUUAAGUAAAGAACAUUGUUAGUGCUGUAAAAGAUACUCUUGAUUACACUUGAAUGAU